AUUUGAUACAUAUCUGUUAUUUUUGACUAAUUCCAUCGGUUAGAUUGAGAAAUUUGGAGGAGGAGGAGGAUGACGACGAUAGAAGGGUUGUUAAUGGGUGGGGAUUGGAAGAUCAUUCAGAAGAAAGAGAGCUUCUUCUCUCCCCUGCUACAUGGUUUCCACACCAGAAAAGGAGGAUACGUUGUACAGCCAGAUAAAUUUCCAAAUUACGUAGUCCCUCAUCUCACUAAGUCCUGACAUUUUUGACCAGUUAAUUUCCUCUUUCCCUUCUUCGUCUCUGACUUUCCUGCUGCUUCCGUCUGAUUCUCCCCUGCUUCCUCACGCCUAUCAAGUUGUGAAGAAGAAUCUGGUGACCUCUUUGGGCUUGAGUCUCCAAGUUUUCCAGCUGAGGGUUGGUUCCCAUCAAAAGAAAACCCACCAAAACCGGAAUUUGGC